AGGCCGAAAGGCGUAGUCGAUGGACAGCAGGUUAAUAUUCCUGCACCCCGGACAUGGUGCGGAUCGAGAAAGCCCCCUGCCUUAUCAGAUUGGCAGGCAAUUGCCGUUGGGGGUGGAAUCGGUUCCUAGAAAAGCCAUGUCAUUAACGGGCCCGUACCAAAACCGACACAGGUAGGUGGGGUGAAGAACCUCAGGCGCUCGAGAGAACGGUUGUGAAGGAACUCGGCAAAAUGACCCCGUACGUUCGCAAGAAGGGGGCCCUACCCGUAAGGGAGGGCGCAGAGAAAAGGCCCUAGCGACUGUUUACCAAAAACACAGCUCUGUGCCAACUCGCAAGAGGAUGUAUACAGAGUGACACUUGCCCAAUGCCGGAAUGUCACGGAAGCGGGUUAG
rnacentral:rRNA from 1 species